CGAAGCUGUGGGAUUCCAGAAAAAUUAACUUAUUAUGUGCGAAGCAUUUUAAGUUGGACUGGAAUCGGUAGGGGAGCGUUCCGCUCUAGGAUGAAGCAUCGAUGUAAAUUGAUGUGGACAAAGCGGAAGUGAGAGUGUCGGCUUGAGUAACGAAAACAUUGGUGAGAAUCCAAUGCCCCGAAAAUCUAAGGGUUCCUUUACUAGGUUCGUCCAUGAAGGGUUAGUAAGGACCUAAGGCCAGACCGAAAGGUGUAGUCGAUGGAGAACAGGUUAAUAUUCCUGUACUGAUUUUUGAAUUGUACCGAGGGACGAAGGAGGCAAUAAGUAACUAAUAAUGGAUUUUAGUGGAAGCGUUCGAGGUGUUGAUGGGUAGAAGAAAAACUAACCUUGAGCUGAGACGCGAUACGGUUUUAUUCCCUAAGU
rnacentral:rRNA from 1 species